rnacentral:sRNA from 1 species
UGGCUGGGCCGGCGGCGGCGGCGGUACGAGGCGCGCGCUCGGGGUCCCGGUCGCGAGGAGGAGGAGGAUGUGGCGCGCGGAGGGGAAAUGGCUGCCGAAAACAAGCCGGAAGAUGAUCAUGGGAACAGCAAUAGUAGUCAUGUAAAAAUCUUUUUACCGAAAAAGCUGCUUGAAUGUCUGCCGAAAUGUUCAAGUUUACCAAAAGAGAGGCACCGCUGGAACACUAAUGAGAGAUCAUGAUGCAGCCGUCCUUUUGGAUUUCUUUUUAAUAAUGUGUGACCCUUCACCUUUGAUCCCCUGACCUGCAUUACCUUGGCUCUCACCACACACUUGUUCAUGGGCGCAGCAAAGAAGAGGGAUCCACAGAGCUGGAGCCGUGAGGGCUGACACAUUGGAAUGAAAGUUGGCAGAAUUCAUAGGGAGAGCUUUCCCAUCCUGCCAGCCCCAUGUCUGGCUUUAAGACAGUUCUAUUAGUGAAUUAACUGUUCUCAAAACCCCAAAUUAAUUUGAACCGAAUGUUACUAAAAAUGAAAUAGAAUAAAGUGACCUACUCUUGCCUCAUCCGGAGUUAUUACGAAGGAGCUCCGCAGCCUGACUGAGCUCUGGAGAGCAGGGCUCUGUGCACAUGCCUCCUGGUCCAGAGGCCUCCGUGACCAUCCAUGAUGCCACUCUGUCCCUUCAGCAAGCUGCCUUUUUCUUCCUAGCACCUGCCCCAGCGGUGGUAUGUUUUCCUGUCAGUUACCACCUGUCUCAUCAGAAUGGAAGCUCCAUGAGAGCAGGGCCUUUGUCUUGUCCCCGUGUAUCUCCAGUGCAUAGGACAGUGCUGACACAGUGCAGAGUCUAAAUAAAUGCUGUUGAACGAA